rnacentral:rRNA from 1 species
AACGAACGCUGGCGGCAUGCCUAACACAUGCAAGUCGAACGAGACCUUCGGGUCUAGUGGCGAACGGGUGCGUAACGCGUGGGAACCUGCCCUUAGGUUCGGAAUAACUCCCCGAAAGGGGUGCUAAUACCGGAUAAUGUCUUCGGACCAAAGAUUUAUCGCCUUUGGAUGGGCCCGCGUUGGAUUAGCUAGUUGGUAGGGUAAAAGCCUACCAAGGCGACGAUCCAUAGCUGGUCUGAGAGGAUGACCAGCCACACUGGGACUGAGACACGGCCCAGACUCCUACGGGAGGAAGCAGUGGGGAAUAUUGGACGAUGGGCGAGAGACUGAUCCAGCAAUGCCGCGUGAGUGAUGAAGGCCUUAGGGUUGUAAAGCUCUUUUACCCGGGAUGAUAAUGACAGUACCGGGAGAAUAAGCUCCGGCUAACUCCGUG